rnacentral:lncRNA from 1 species
GAUCCAUGUGUAUUUGCUCUCUCCGGCAUCGCUCCGCACCGAGCAAACAGCUUCCAGGCGUGACCUUUGGGCUGGAAGCCAUCUUUUCAUGUAUUUGUUGUUUCCAGAACCGAGUGGGCAGGCUUCAGGCAUGUGGAGAGACCCUUCUGAGUUAGCUGGUCCAAACCUUCAGCUUCCUGUCAGUCCUGGGACAGGGACGGCACUUGGAGGCAGGGCGUUCGUGUUGGGGUCUUCUUGGGAGAUAUUCCGGUUCCUCCAGUUCAGCGAUUUCCCCUGAACCGGGGAAACAUGCCUAACCUCAGGUCUAACCUCCUAUGCCCAUCCUCCCAUCAUAGAGGCCCUCACUGCCGGUUUGUAUAGGGUCAGUUCCCUUAAGAUCAGGUUUAUUCAGUUGGCUCUCAAGCCUUAACUUCCAGGUAUCACCUUCCCAAGAAGUCAUCCUGAUGAGUGAGCCUGCCGCCUAAGUGAUCGGGAGCCCCAGGUACUGGUCAAGGCCUCACCAUAAAGGAUGCUGUUUUGAGAGUGCUGAGAGGCUCUUUCCAACUCCAGCCUGGAAAUCUUAAAAAGAGUUUCCACUUCUGUUUAAGUGACUCACACAAAUACCACUCAACUGGCACAGUGCCUGCCACUUACUGCUCAGUGAUUAUUUGCAAGCCUUGUACAACCCAACCCUAGCGCUCGGGUACCAUAGUUCAAGGUCGUCCUUGAUUAUAUGAUUGAUUGCUAUUUAUUAAUUCGAACCUAACUCUCCAGUCCCUAUAUCCCUAACUCCAUCCUCCUUCCUCAGAGGAGCCUUUAUUAUUGUUUACUGAGACGGAACCAACCAUAAAACACGAGGCCUACAUAAUGAGAUGUUUUUAUACCCAAAGAAGUCACAAGUGCAUGUGCACACAUACAGAAGUUACCUAGUCUUUCCAUGCAAAAGCAACAAAAGGGUAACUAUGUCCUCUCUUUGCUCUGGAAACCAAAACAGCAGCCACACUGCUACAUUAAGUGGACAUCCCUUACAAGUUUCUGUCCCCUAAGCAUAAUGUACCCUGCAAACCAUGGUUUUUAACCUAUGCUGAGUUCCUAACUCUAUGAUGUAUGCCCACCCCUUGCUUUGCUAAACUCCUGAACCUGUGAUACAUGACUGCCUUUUGCUAUACAAAAACGUGCCUCCCCAGAAACCUUCCACGUGGUGUAAGCUUGCACUUCUUUUUCUGGCCUCCUUUCUAACAGCCAAUUAUCCUAGCAGCUGUUUUCUAUCACAUGUAUCUACCCUGCAGGCAGCCUGGAGUCCCCCCACUCUUCUGUUAGGGUGCUAACAACCAA